AGUCUCUGUUGCCUUGGUGGUUUGAGUGACCCUAAUGGUUCUUUAGUGUUCAGGUAAUGAUGCCAGAGAGGUGCCUAUGUCUGGAAAUGAGGACAUUUCCACCAAAGGGCUCUUAAAUCACCUUCUUUUAAAAAUAUAUUUUUAAAAAAAUACUUUAAAAAAUGUUUUAAUGAAUUUUCAUUAAAGUUGUGGUUCUUUUUAAAUAAAGUGUGCUAAUUUCUCCUCCCUAGAUGAAGUUACCCAAUUAUGUAAAAUAUUUGCCUAAAGAAAAUAUCUAGGUACAGAAGAACAUUAUUAUAAAUUAUCUUUGCGGGAUCCCUGGGUGGCGCAGCGGUUUAGCGCCUACCUUUGGCCCGGGGCGCAAUCCUGGAGACCCAGGAUCGAAUCCCACAUCGGGCUCCCGGUGCAUGGAGCCUGCUUCUCCCUCUGCCUGUGUCUGCCUCUCUCUCUCUCUCUCUCUCUCUCUCUCUCUGUGUGACUAUCAUAAAUAAAUAAAAAAUUUAAAAAAAAAAACAAAAAAAAUAAAUUAUCUUUGCUUCUCUUCUGUCCUCAGGCAUCAAAAAGGCAAAUGGAAGAUUUCUCACCAGUUUAUAGUGAGAAUUUAGUAACAUAUUGUCUUUAGUAAUAUAUUUUCAAACAUCAUGAUGAAGAAAAUAGUUAGGUAUCCACAGGGUUCCCAAAUUCAGGCAUUCCCCACGUAUUCUAACUCAAAAAUACAAGAAGCAAAAGAACUGCUCCACACCUGGAAUAUUUUCUAAACAACUCUGAUUUGUAUUCAUGGUUAUAAAUUUCAGCCAGGAUAAAAAUGAGAGCUAAAGGUAUCAAUCAGUUUGUUGCUGUGAAGAAGAGAGUCUCCCAACAAAAAUGAGAAUUAACCCGAAGAAAAAAUAAACUUCGCACAUUAUUUUAAUGCCUCCAAAUUUGGCAUUUAUUUUUAAUCUCUGUCCCACUCACCCCUUUCAUCUCUUCUCUGUUUCCACCUUAAAUUAUUUCUAAGAAGCUGAUGACACACUUCAGACUGCCCCCACUCCCUUUCUAAAGAAGUGCUUCCCAAUUUUGAAAGCCAGGAUGGAAUACGUUCUCCCUAUCUGUAUGAACUCUUGUGUUCAAGCACUGUGUGUGCUUCUCUUAUCUUUAGCAAGGUAUAUACUUUUCCUACCUUUUUAAUUUCCAAAACUAGUUAGAGAUGGAAAUAUAGACUAUGCAAACAAUUGCAGAUAAAUGCUUUGCAAGGGUUCCUUAUCACCGUGACCUAUAUGUCAUCUAUUAAAAGAGAAAAGACAAUAAAUAAUAAAUCUUUGUUAUGUAUCCAGAUUAUCUUUGAUCACCAAAAGUAAUAUUUUUUUUUUAAAGAUUUAUUUGACAGAGAGACAGUGCACAUGCACGAGCAUGAGGAAGGGCAGCGGAAAGGGAGAGAAACUCAAGCAGAUUCCCUGCUGAGUGCCAUGCCCAACGCGGGGCUCCAUCUGAGGACCCUAAGACCAUGACCUCAAGGGCUGAAAUCAAGAGCCAGCUGCUUAACCGACUCAGCCACUCAGGUGCCCCCUUAAGUUAUAAUUUAAAAAACAUUUGUUUAAAAGUCUAGGUUUUGUACAAUUCAACUAGAAGUAUACUAGCAAUAGUAUGAGAACAAUGAAUGGGAAAACAAUAUGUUUUGUAGGAAAACCAAGAGGAGAAAUAAAAGCACAUAGAAGUAAAAGAAAAAUAAUUUUCCAGGGAUUUAAACAAAUUUAAAAUACUGUAUAUUGGAACACCUGAGUGGCUCAGUGGUUGAGUACCUGCCUUUGGCUCAGGGCCUGAUUCUAGGGUCCUGGGAUGGAGUCCCACAUCGGGCUCCCUGCAUGGAGCCUGCUUCUCCUCCUUCUGCCUAGGUCUCUGCCUCUCUCUGUGUCUCUCAUGAAUAAAUAAAAUCUUAGAAAAAAAUACUGUAUAUUAUUUUUGCACAAAACUUAAAAAGUCAGUUGACAAGAUACCUUACUUAGUCCAACAGUUUAUUUUAGUUAGACUUUCCUAUUCUUCCCAGUAUAAUAGUAAUGUAUCUAAUCAUAAUCAUAUUAGCAGGACAAAUACAGCUUCAAUAUUGAUGGACCAAUUUUUGACUUUUAGUAAUGUAUUUAUUUACUUUUUCAUAUCCCGUUUCAUUGCAGGUCAGUCAAAUUUCUUUCUAAAUCUAGACUUGUGGGCCCUUUUCAUCAAUAAAUAUGUAUUAAUUGAAUGCACUAAGUGCAGCAUAUAGUUCACAUUUAAUGCCUGAUUUAAAUGAGACAUUAUUAUACAUAUGUGUAUAAAAAUAUUUUUUUCUUCUUUUGAAUACCCAACUAUUAAUCUUUAGAAAUGCACUUCUUGUGAUACUGUACUGAAAACAUUUUCCAAAACUGAGUUUUGAUAAGAGAUCUGGAAAAGAAUAGGUAGCCUUCUUGCCAGGGUGCAGGUGCAAGGAAGAAAAAAGGACAAAGCUAAGUCAGAUACAAGAGAUCUAGGAGGCAGGUAGGAGGGACAAAACAGCAGCAAAACAUUCAUUGGGAGGAAAUGGAUAGAUUUGAGGAAAAAAGAAAGGCAACAAGAGAAAGCAGUCAGUAAAAGGGAGUCCCCACUGGGAGACAUCUGUAGAAAACAUCUGUAGACACUUCUCCAUCACCGCCAGGAAGGAGAAUUCCUGCUACAGAGACACACAAAAAGGCUUAACUACCUGUGGUAUUUGGUUGAAGGGCAUAAACAAUGCUCAGUGCACCAGCCUCUAAUUACUCUAUGACAACCCCAGUUCCGCCCUCCCAGUGGAAAACAUAUGUCAAAGCAUUUAGUAUUGAUUGAAACGUAAGGAAAUUCUUUGAUUCAUCUCUUUCCCCACAACAAGCCUGCCUUAUUUCACCCUCAUUUGUCUGAGGAGAAAGAAAAAUAAGUAUUUCCUUCCAAGGAGAGAUAGGAGAUGGCUCUGAUCCAUUUAUCACAUAACUGUUUUUGCUUUGCUUUCGUACCUGAGGUUAGAAAAAUUCUGCCAAUGGGGCCCUGUCAGCCUGGCACUGAAUGCAACAGUGGGUAUGACAAAGGUACUAGCAGCUGGAAAGGCACACUGUCUAAAGUGCUAGUCCUGAUGAUGGGGCCAGCCACCUGGAAGACUGAACAAGUCAUUAGAAGAUCAACUGUGAAAAGAAUCACAUGCACCGCCCCUCUCCCCCAGGCCCCCGCUUCACUCCCUUUGAACACCUUAUCCUUCCUGCGCUCCAUAGUAUCCCAUUUACAGCUCAUUCAGGGCUAAUGUAGCAGAGAGGAAACAUGGAGGAGUCAGAGACAGAGAGAAAUCCUGCAAAUGAAAAGAAAAUUCUUUAUUCAAGUGGCGUUCACAGUUUCAAAAUAGAAAAACAUGUUAUAGAUUUCUGUGCACACAUUACUACCUGUGGCCCAUUCAAGUCAUUCAGUCUCACUCACGGAGUGAGUGCAUUUUGUGAGUCAAUCACAGGCACGUUUGUGUGGAUGGGCAUUACAUAGAGCCAGAGUCUCCGGGUCAGUGAUGAGCUAGAUGCUGCCAAUGGUGCCACUCCCAGAGUUACUGCUUCUGAGAGCUGGUGCUUUUGAAGUAUGGCCAGCUGAAAGAAAUAAGCAAUGACAAAAAACAUAAUGGAGCCCAUAAGAGGCCUGGGCUAAAAAAAAAAAAAAAAAAAA
rnacentral:lncRNA from 1 species